AUGGCAGCAGGGCUUGAAGCAGCAGCGGAGGUGAUGGUGAUGGAGCCCAAAAUGGAAGAAGAAAGCAGCGCGGCCUGCAUGCCAAGUGACCAUGGGGCUCUGGAGGAUGAGGGAGAACGAUUGACUCAGAAUGAGAAGAGGGAGGAGAAAAACAUACAAGGAGGAGGCAGCCCCUCUGAGCCCUGUGCCAACCCAAGAAAAAGAUACAGUGCUUUCGUUACCAACAUACCUUUGGAUGUGAGAUGGCAGUCACUUAAAGACUUGGUUAAAAAAAAAGUUGGUGAGGUCACAUACGUGGAACUCUUAAUGGACGCUGAAGGCAAGUCAAGCGGAUGUGCGAUUGUUGAAUUCAAGAUGGAAGAGAGCAUGAAAAAAGCUGUUGAAGUGCUAAAUAAGCAUCGCCUGAGUGGAACACCACUGGAAGUCAAGGAAGAUCCUGACGGUGAACAUGCCUACAGAGCAAUGCGAAAGAUUGGAAGUCUUGGAAGCACAGUGUUGGUAGCAAAUCUGGAUCAUAGAAUUCGCUGGAAGAAACUGAAGAAGGUGUUUAGUAAGGUUGGUGUGGUGCUCCGAGCAGACAUUCUGAAGGAUAAAGAUGGGGAAAGUCUUGGGAAAGGCAUUGUGACUUUCAAGCAGCCCCUGGAAGCUCGGCAAGCGGUAGCUAAGCUUAAUGGCCGGCUGCUAUUUGAUAGACCAAUGCACGUCAAAAUGGAGAGGACUUUACCAAACAAAGACUUCCUUCCUGAACAUCCCCAGCAACUUCCCUAUGGACUUGGUGGUAUUAGCAUGGAUUUGGGGCCAGGAGGGCAGCCUAUUGAUGCCAAUCACCUAAGCAAAGGCAUUGGCAUGGGAAACAUAGGUCCUGCAGGAAUGGGAAUGGAAGGCAUAGGAUUUGGAAUAAAUAAAAUGGGAGGCGUGGAGGGACCCUUUGGUGGUGAUAUGGAAAACAUGGGACGAUUUGGAUCUGGGAUGAACAUGGGCCCGAUAAAUACACUGAAGAGAGGAGAGAUCAUUGCAAAGCAGGGAGGAGGUGGAGGAGGUGGCAGCAUCCCUAGGAUUGAGAGGAUUGGCCCUGGCAUUGACUACAUUAUGGGGACUGGCAUGGAGUGCAUGGGUGCUGGCCUGGGUCACAGCAUGGAUCAAAUUGGCUCUGAGAUGAGGCGCAUGGGCCGGGUCAUGAACCGCGUGGGCUCUGUCGAGCACAUGGGCUCCGGCAUUGAGCACAUGGGUCCCCUGAGUCUCGACCACACAGCCUCCAGGUUUGAGCAUAUGGGCCAGACCAUGGAGCACAUGGGUGCUGGCAUAGGCUUUGGCCUGGAGCACAUGGCUGCACCCAUUGACCAUGCGGGCCAGAUCAUUGAGCCCAUGGGCUCCGGUGUGGAGUGCAUGGGUCCUGCUAUCGACUACAUGGGCCUGAGCAUGGAGCGCAGGGUGCCCGUGGGCAUGGGGGCUGGCCGGGAGCACAUGGGCCUCGUGAUGGAUCCCAUGGCCACUGGCCUGGAGCUCAUGGGUGCCAACAACCUGGAGUGCAUGGGCCUCGAGCGCAUGGGCGCCAACAGUCUCCAGCGGAUGGGCCCUGCCAUGGGACCAGAUUCAGGUGCUGGCAUUGAGCACACGGGCCUGCCCAUGGGUAGUGGUGGCAAUGCCAUUGGGGUGGAGUGUGGACACUUUGGAGGAAGCUUUGCAGGAUCCUUUGGUGGAGCCAGAGGCUAUGUUCCCAGGGUGUCCAGAGAGGCCUGCCAGGUAUUUGUAAGAAAUCUCCCAUUUGAUUUUACUUGGAAGAUGCUAAAGGACAAAUUCAGUGAAUGUGGCCACGUGCUAUAUGCCAGCAUCAAGAUGAAGAAUGGGAAGUCUACGGGGUGUGGCUUGGUUAAGUUUGAGUCACCAGAGGUAGCUGAAAGAGCCUGCCGGAGGAUGAAUGGCAUGAACUUGAGGGGCCAGAAGAUAGAUGUUCGAAUGGAUAGAAAUGCUUAA